rnacentral:rRNA from 1 species
UUGGAGGGCAGUCUGGUGCAGCAGCCGCGGUAAUUCCAGCUCCAAUAGCGUAUAUUAAAGUUGUUGCAGUUAAAAAGCUCGUAGUUGAAUUUCGGGAUCAAUAUGUCGGUCGUGCCAUCGGUACGUACUGGUAUCAUUGGUCUCUCCUUUCUGACGAACCAUGAUGUCAUUAAUUUGGUGUUAUGGGGAGUUAGGACUGUUACUUUGAAAAAAUUAGAGUGUUUAAAGCAGGCAUUAGCUUGAAUACAUUAGCAUGGAAUAAUGAAAUAGGACGUUCGAACCUAUUUUGUUGGUUUCUAGGAUCAACGUAAUGAUUAAUAGGGAUAGUUGGGGGCAUUAGUAUUCAAUUGUCAGAGGUGAAAUUCUUGGAUUUAUUGAAGACUAACCACUGCGAAAGCAUUUGCCAAGGAUGUUUUCAUUAAUCAAGAACGAAAGUUAGGGGAUCGAAGACGAUCAGAUACCGUCGUAGUCUUAACCAUAAACUAUGCCGACUAGGGAUCGGAUGAUGUUAAUUUUUUAAUGACUCAUUCGGCGCCUUACGGGAAAC